rnacentral:rRNA from 1 species
UACUGAGGUCUCAAGCGUUGUUCGGAUUCAUUGGGCGUAAAGGGUGCGUAGGCGGCGCGGUAAGUCAGGUGUGAAAUCUCGAGGCUCAACCUCGAAACUGCACUUGAUACUGCCUUGCUCGAGUACUGGAGAGGAGAUUGGAAUUUACGGUGUAGCAGUGAAAUGCGUAGAUAUCGUAAGGAAGACCAGUGGCGAAGGCGAAUCUCUGGACAGUUACUGACACUGAGGCACGAAGGCCAGGGGAGCAAACGGG